ensembl:lncRNA novel transcript
GACAGGGGCCAGGGCUGGAGUUGGGACUGGAUUCAGAGAGAGAGUCAACGUCGGCAGAGCGAGAAUGGCAGGCCCAGCAGAGGAUGACCCAGAGCAGCAGCAGCAAGAAGCCCACGAGACCGUUGCAGACGAUGGCGAUGAGGGCCCCCUGGGAGAUGGCUGCCCCCAUGACAGGCAGCACCCUCAGACCAGCACAGACAGUGGAGCUGCCUCAAUGGACUCCAGCCAGCCCGACCAGGAGACCUCCAGAGGCGCCAGCUUGCACAGAGGGAACUUUGUGGAGGCCCUGGCAGGCAUGUGCAGGCUCUGUGCGUCCAGGGCUGUGUGCCUCUAUGUGGGGCUGCCUCUCUGGGUCAGGCCAGUGAUUGUCACCUAUUCUGAUCCGGCCGUCUUCUCAUCCCGCUCUACAUGCUCUCCUUGGAGGAUCACAUCCCUGAAGCUAUAUCAUGAAGACUCCCAGUGCUCCCAAGUCUAGCCUUAACUUCUCUCUGGAAUCCUAGACUCAUAUAACUAAGUGCCUACUGUAAUCGGGGCAGUAUUGAUUCCUGGUUCACUUACUAACUUUGUGAUCUUGAGCAAGUUACUAAAUCUCUCUUAGCCUCAGCUUCCUCAUCUGUAAAAUGGUUGUAAU